UACGGAGGGUGCAAGCGUUAAUCGGAAUUACUGGGCGUAAAGCGUGCGCAGGCGGUUUGUUAAGUCUGCUGUGAAAUCCCCGAGCUCAACUUGGGAAUUGCAGUGGAUACUGGCAAGCUGGAGUACGGUAGAGGAAGGUGGAAUUCCCGGUGUAGCAGUGAAAUGCGUAGAUAUCGUGAGGAACACCAGAGGCGAAGGCGGUUUCCUGGACAGUUACUGACGCUCAGGCACGAAAGCAUGGGGAGCAAAAGGG
rnacentral:rRNA from 1 species